AGAAGAGGACAAUGGAGACAAAAACGGGGGCCAUACUAUUCUUGAUUCUUCAUCUAGAGUGUCAGCUCUAUCCCGAGGCUGGCUUCUCUCUCAUGGUAGCAAAAUGACCCCACAGUGCCAUACCUAUUGGCAAAAUGUUGGCUCUGGUGAUGUUUCUUGGCUGCAUAUGAAUAAAAGCUCCUCCCUAGCAGAACUCUUGGGUAAUGUGUAAGAAUCACCCAGAUAGACUGGUUUUGAAGGCAUGAAGAGGUCAUGGAGAGCAGCUGAGGCUUGGCAUUAUGAGAGAGAGGUCAGGGAAGGACGUUAGUGAAGGUGUAGCCUCCAUUGCAGUUGACAGCCCAGGACUGAAGGGGUCAUACAAAGAAGUUAAGGACUUGGCACCAUGAGGAGAGCCUAUGAGAGGCUAUUGAUGAAGCCUAGUUGUAGACGACCCCACAUAUUGGAGAUGCCAGUACCAUGGGAUGACCCCCAAGAAGAGCAGCAACAGUGGAGUGGAGUCAACCAGAGCCUAGAGUGCUACAGAGGGCAGAGCUGGAGAAGUGACCCAAGGCCUUUGGAGGAGCCCAGCAGAUCACACAUGAUGUUUGGUUCUCAGACAUAGGAGUAAGAAGCUCUAAAGUUGAAGUGGCCUUGGAUACCCCGAGAUAUUAGAAAUGUCAGAGCUAUGGGAUACCUGCCUAGGAAAGCUGCUAAUAGGGAGUGAAACCAGCCAAAGAGAAGGUAUGGUGUCGUCAGCCAAGUUGAACGGCUUUGGAGAUCUGAAGAGUGCUUUGAUCACAUACAUGGAGAUGCAGAGUUUGGAGUUUGCCCAGCAGUUUUUCUGUCUUGCUUUGGUCCAAUAUUUCCUUACCAUGACAUUUUGGAAUGCUAAUGUAUACCAUGGAUGAUGUUGGGGGUAUGUGAUCUGCUUUUUGAUUUUGAUUUCUUAGGGGAUUAUAGUUAAGAAAUUGCAUGAUCUCAGAAGAGACUUUGAACUUUGGAUUUUUAACAUUAUUGAGACUGUUAUAGACUAUGGGACUUUUUUGCUGUUGUUGUUGUUGUUGUUGUUUUUGUUUUUCGAGACAGGGUUUCUCUGUAUAGCCCUGGCUGUCCUGGAACUCACUCUGUAGACCAGGCUGGCCUCAAACUCAGAAAUCUGCCUGCCUCUGUCUCCCAAGUGCUGGGAUUAAAGGUGUGUGCCACCACGGUUGGCACUAUGGGACUUUUGAAGUUUGGACUAACUGUAUUUUGCAAUGUGCUAUGCAGAGGUAUGGGUCCCAUAGACUGUUUUGUGUUUGAACAAGCCUAUGAGGGCCAGGGAGUGAAAUGUGAUGGUUUGAAUAUGCUUGGUCCAGGGAGUGACACUCUUAGGAAGUAUGGCCUUGUUGGGGUAGAUGUGGCCCUGUUGGAGGACAUGUGUCACUCUGGGCGUGUGCUUUAGCCAGUCUUCAGUUUGCCUUUGGAAUAAGAUGUAGAAAUCUCAGCUGUUUCAGCACCAUGUCUGCCUGCAUCCUGCCAUGCUUCUUGCCAUGAUGAUAAUGGACUGAACCUCAGAACCUGUAAGCCUGCCCCAAUUAAAUGCUGUCCUUAAAGUUGCCUUGGUUAUGGUGUCUCUUUGCAGCAAUGGAAACCCCAAUUAGGACAAUGCCUUGAAGCCUGAAAGCACAACCAUGCACUGCUGAUCACCUGUCUUUGGGUAUCAGUAAGGUGAUUGCCAAUCUGAGCCUGGAGUGACCGACAUUUGCUGAACUGCUCUGGCCAACUGGAGGCUGGCUGCCACCUUCUUGCCCAGAAGCAAGGAUGGGCCAGUGGUCUUUCUAUUAUAUAUGUGUUACACAUUCCAUUCCCCAGCAGGUUAGCCACAGUCUCUUCCUGUGGUAAUGGCAAAGGCCAAGUGUGCAGAGUGGGUGGGUCAGGGGUAUUCUAGUUUCCUUCUGCUGCUGUUAUGAAACACUCUGACCAAAAAUGACUUAGGGGACAAAAGGGUUUAUCUAUCUUCCAGGUCACAAGCUAUCAUCAGGAGGAAGUCAGGACAGGAACUCAAAACAGAAACCAUAGAGCUGCCCUUCUCCACCUCCCUAUUGCUGUGACACUUUAAUACACUUCCACAUGGCCUGGUGACCCACAACCAUAAAGUUAUUUCAUUACUACUUUAGAACUGUAAUUUUGGGGCUGGAGAGAUGGCUCAGUGGUAAAGAGCACUGGUUGUUCUUCCAAAGGUCCUGAGUUCAAAUCCCAGCAACCACAUGGUGGCUCACAACCAUCUGUAAUGAGAUCUGACGCCCUCUUCU
rnacentral:lncRNA from 1 species